UUUAUUUGAUAUUUGCAUAUUAUACAGGAGAAAAGAAAUGUGAUUGUUCAAAAACAAAAGAUAAAAUAUAAAAAAGUUUUUAUAAUUAAUUUAUUGAUGUUAAUUUUGCGAUAAAGAUGCGGUCUACUAACUACAAUGGCUUCUUAUACUAGACAACGAUCUUAAUUAAUCGUCCCUUGCUGUAGUUUGGAUUUAUUUUCAAGACAUUUGAGACAACAUCAAUAGAGGCCCGACAUUUUAAUAUUAAUAAAAAGCGGCGCGCCGGUCUCUUUUCAAUUAAUCCCAUGACGCUGUCUGAUUACUACGAGUACCAAUCAGGCUCUGUAUUCUAGCGUUACAAUUACAUGCUACUGGACAAAAUUGUGAAUAUUUCCCGUUCUGGCUAUUUCCAGUGUGCGUACCUACUCUCAAAAGUCUGUCGCUUAGACAAAAGGAACCUUGCUAAAAUAUAUCCUGUGUUAAUAAAGAUAGAAACUAUGUAUGUGCGAAAUUUAAUCUGUUAAUCAUAUAUACACAGACUUUUAUUUUUAUAACAUUAUAUCCUAUAGAAGUACCUACAGCUUAAAAACUAUUACUGAUCCGAAGUAAAAUGGCAGUGACGCAUUGUUGAUCAUACAGUACCAUUCUACCAACACGUCUUCUACUACAUAUAUGUAUACUGUACAUCCUGUGCUACAAGGUCAUAUUUGCAAUUAAAAAUUAUAAAAUUUUCGAAAAAAUCACAAAUAACAUUUAAUUUAUACUACAUUAAGCAUAUUUCCCAGAGCCUCUGAACAUAACAAGUAUGAUUUCAUCUGUAGCCCUAGCACGAAUAACUUGCGAAAAUGUAUUCGUAACGUUAUCGAAUUAUAUUUGUAUGAGAUUCGUACAGCGCCCCUAUCGUACGUAAAAGGAACUAAUUUUGGUAGCACGAACAAAUUUCGUAUCGCAAUCGUAUCGUCACGUAAACGAUACUUGAACCAUAUAAACAAUGAAACGCUAUAAUUGCGAGCACGAACACUGUUUUGACGUACGGUAAUGUAAAUUUCGAAGGCUGGGUAUCGAGUAUUGUCGAAACUUUAUUCACUUAAGAUUUGUUGGUGAGAAAGGUUUCGUAACGUGUUUAAAUAUAAUUUUAUCCAUGUUUUUAUUUUAUAAGUAAUUUUUUAUAAAUAAUAGUGUUUUCUUAUCACUUUAGUUAGUUCUUAUAUACAAUUAAUUUUAAUAAAUUGCGCAAAAUGCAAAGACCACCGUUGUACGAGCGUAGUCCCUUAUAUUAUUUUGUUGCUGCAAGUUUACUUGAAAAUGAAGAAUAUUCAUCAAGAGAAGUUAGGUAAGUACCUACUUCAGUCAAUCGUGUUAUAUUCUAAUAUUUUUUAAACAUAAAUUAAUUGAGAAUCAAUUGGUUUUAUUACUUAUAGAGAAAUUACACGCAGAGUUGCUCUGAGAAAGAAAAAUAAUCCUGUGGACAUAAAUGACGCGGAAUUCAAAAAUAGAUACCGGUUGAAUAAAGAAUCAUUCAAGUUUCUUUGUAAUCAACUUAAGCAAAAAACAUCUUUAAAAGGAAGUUCCAGGAUAAGUUUGGAACUUAAGGUUCUUUGUGCGCUAUCUUUUUAUGCCACUGGAUCUUACCAACGCUUAGUGGGAAUGGCUAAAUAUUUGGGCCAAACGACUGUUAGCAAAUGUGUGAAGGAAGUAACAGAUGCUCUUGUAACUCCUGCAAUUUUAAAUACUUUCAUAAAAUUUCCUUAUGCCAGAGCUGAUAGAGAUGUAAUAAAAACAAAUUUUUUGCAAAGUAUGGUUUCCCAGGAGUUAUAGGAUGCAUUGAUGGAUGUCAUUUCCAUAUUUUCACACCCAAAAAAGAAGUCGAACAUUUAUAUUAUAGUAGAAAGCAUUUCCAUUCAUUAAAUGUGCAAAUGAUUUGUGAUAGUGAUUGUCGUAUUUUAAACGUAAAUGCGAAAUACGGAGGAGCCACCCACGACGCUUUUAUUUGGGAAAAUAGCGUGGUCAACAAUUAUAUGCAGAGCUUACAUCGAAAUAACGAGCAAGUGUGGUUGUUAGGUGAUUCUGGUUAUCCACAGCGACCCUGGUUGAUGACACCAAUUUUAGAUGCUGUUGAGGGAACUCCAGCUUAUAAAUAUACAGCAGUUCAUGGAAGGACCAGGGUAGCUAUUGAAAAUACUUUUGGGCGACUAAAAAACCGAUGGCGUUGUUUGUGUAAGGAUCGCACAUUACACUAUGCUCCAGUAAAAUGUGCAAAAAUCAUAACAGCAUGCUGUGUAUUGCACAACUUAGCCAUUGAGUUCAACGUACCUGAACCAGAACCAGCAGAGAUUGAAAACCCCAAUUUGGCUAUGACAAUAUCUGAACAUAUUUUUCAAGAGAAUACUACAGGAGAUGGGUUAAUUAGGGGUAGAGCUAUAAGAAGUAUUUUAGCAGAUAAAAUUAAUAGACUUCAUACAUAAUUUUACUUUUGUUUAUUAAUUUUGUAAAAAAUAUAGUAAUUGGUAAUUAUAAUUAAGUAAUUGGUAAAAUAAAAUAAAAUAAAAUAAUUAAGUAAUUGGUAAAAUAAAAGUAGUUGGUAAAAAAAUAUAGUAAUUAAGCUUAA